CUGUGUUCGACAGAUAGUUUUCCUAAAACAUUUUCUUUCUUUCUUUUUCAAAACACGUUUUAUCUACAGGCUUUCAAUCACAACACAUUUUUAUAAAAAAAGCAGAACUGAAAGUUUAGUCAUUAUAAUUUAUUGACACCAUAUCACAUACAUUUUCAACUCGCAGCAACAACGGAAGACCUACUCGUGGCUUUGCCACGAGCUCUGCUCUAGUUUAUUUUUCUUUUUGCUUGCAAAGAUUUUUUGGAUGAGGCUGCCAUCCACCCACCCACCCCCUUUAAAAAAAGGCGCUGCUACGUAUAACGUUACGUUUCAGGAAAUUACCGUAAUUAUAGUGAAUAAAAUAUUUGUGAGCAUUCAUCCAAAUUAGUGCAAUUUACAACUGUUUCCUGUAUCUGAAGAAAUGUCCUUAUUCGUCAGCUGUUCUUUAUCUUAGCCUUUGCAAGUUUUUGAGAGGAUUUUGGUCAUUUCAGCAGAUUUACAAUAACUUCAAUUAGAGUAAUUUCCCCUUAUCAGUGCUUAUUGUGACGUCAAAGCUGACGUUGGUUAAGUGUCGUCUUACUCUUUAAAACUCCCCUGAGAAAUAAAAGUCUGCGAAAUAUACUGUUUUUUUUACUUAAAAAGCAUGAUGUUCUUAAAAUUACACAUCUUAUAAGCUUUUCAAAGGUUUUACUUUGAUUCUCGGGAGAACGUGAUGUUGGAACGUGAGGUUGGAAACCAUUGGAACUAUGAAUUGUGGGUCAAAAUUUACUGACUCCGAAAAAAUAUAUCGGAUCAAUGUGUAAACGUUUGUGACGUCACACGAUUAUUUUUGAUUGAAAGUGUACUGAGGUGAACUUUAGAGGUAACAUUGACUGUAGUCGCUUACAUCGUUAUUGUUUUGUCUUGCUGAUUCUCGUGAGAGUGUGAAGUGAUAAAAAUUGCCAUGAUUACAGGGAACUACUGGGACGAUUAAAACGAUGCAUUACUGGUCCGAUUUACUGACGCCAAAAAAAUCCUUUGAAUGCAACUAUACUCUGUCCCAAGAUAUUUUGGAUUCACGUUUGGCUUAAUUGUUUGAUAUUUAUAAAUACCUCAGGAUCCAAACGAUGUUCAUUCAAAAGUAUGAAAAAUUUCCAAGAUUUCUCAGUCAAAACGCCCCUGUUAGCUUAUCAGGUUUCAAUACAAUGCUAAAAAAUGUGAUGUCUACGGAGAUUUUGCAUUGCAGCAAGCCCGGAUGAUAACGUUGAAAUAUUGCGCGAUGUAUUCCGAGUGUAUUCCGAAUGGAGAAAAGAUGUAAACAUUCCCCAUUUUAAAUCUCCGUAAGGAAUCUGUUUUCGUUCCUGUGAAUUUUUCCGAGUGAAAGAUGAUAAUGUGUCAAUGAAAUUAUCUUGGAAAAUAUCCCUUUCAACUAUUCCAAUUGCACUUCUUUCACAGUUCACGGACACAACAGGGAGAAGUGUCAGCCCGUAAUAGACGCUCUAAAGAAAUGUUGCGAGCAACCAGGGACAGAGAACUCCGUCGUCUGUGACGGCAUGAGACCCGCCAACAACCCGAACAUGAAAUCCUGAACAGUUUAUUCUAUAGAAUGAUACAAAUAUAUAUGUUAGAUAUAAUGA